CAGGGAUGAUGAUGCUGAGAAAGGUUUCGCAAACUGGACUGAUGUCCUGUGAUGUAAUUUUCUCUUGGCUGUCUGACCAG
ensembl:snoRNA small nucleolar RNA SNORD53/SNORD92